AGAGUUUGAUCCUGGCUCAGGAUGAACGCUGGCGGCGUGCCUUAUGCAUGCAAGUCGAACGCUCUUAAGCAAUUAAGAUAGUGGCGAACGGGUGAGUAACGCGUAAGUAACCUACCUCCAACUGGGGAAUAGCUUCGGGAAACUGAAGGUAAUACCGCAUGUGGUGGACCGACAUAUGUUGGUUCACUAAAGCCGUAAGGCGCUUGGUGAGGGGCUUGCGUCCGAUUAGCUAGUUGGUGGGGUAAUGGCCUACCAAGACGUCGAUCGGUAGCUGGUCUGAGAGGAUGAUCAGCCACACUGGGACUGAGAUACUGCCCAGACUCCAACGGGAGGCUGCAGCAAGGAAUCUUGGGCAAUGGGCGAAAGCCUGACCCAGCAACGCCGCGUGAGGGAUGAAGGCCUUCGGGAUGUAAACCUCUUUUCAUAGGGAAGAAUAAUGACGGUACCUUUGAAAUAAGCUUCGGCUAACUACGUGCCAGCAGCCGCGGUAAUACGUAGGAAGCAAGCGUUAUCCGGAUUUAUUGGGCGUAAAGUGAGCGUAGGUGGUCUUUUAAGUUGGAUGUGAAAUUUCCCGGCUUAACCGGGACGAGUCAUUCAAUACUGUUGGACUAGAGGGCAGCAGGAGAAAACGGAAUUCCCGGUGUAGUGGUAAAAUGCGUAGAUAUCGGCAAGAACACCAGAGGCGAAAGCGGUUUUCUAGGUUGUCACUGACACUGAGGCUCGAAAGCGUGGGGAGCGAAUAGAAUUAGAUACUCUGGUAGUCCACGCCUUUAAACGAUGGAUACUAGUCAUUGGCAGUAUCGACCCUGUCCUGUGCCGAAGCUAACGCUUUAAGUGUCCCGCCUGGGGAGUACGGUCGCAAGGCUAAAACUCAAAGGAAUUGACGG
rnacentral:rRNA from 1 species